UACGGGGGGGGCAAGCGUUGUUCGGAAUUACUGGGCGUAAAGGGCUCGUAGGCGGCCAACUAAGUCGGAUGUGAAAUCCCCAGGCUUAACCUGGGAAUUGCAUCCGAUACUGGAUGGCUUGAAUCCGGGAGAGGGAUGCGGAAUUCCAGGUGUAGCGGUGAAAUGCGCAGAUAUCAGGAAGAACACCCGUGGCGAAAGCGGCUCUCUGGAACGGUACUGACGCUGAGACGCGAAAGCGUGGGGAGCGAACAGG
rnacentral:rRNA from 1 species